rnacentral:rRNA from 1 species
GACGAACGCUGGCGGCGUGCUUAACACAUGCAAGUCGAACGGAAAGGCCCUGCUUUUGUUGGGUGCUCGAGUGGCGAACGGGUGAGUAACACGUGAGUAACCUGCCCUUGACUUUGGGAUAACUUCAGGAAACUGGGGCUAAUACCGGAUAGGAUCUCCUGCUGCAUGGUGGGGGUUGGAAAGUUUCGGCGGUUGGGGAUGGACUCGCGGCUUAUGAGCUUGUUGGUGGGGUAGUGGCUUACCAAGGCUUUGACGGGUAGCCGGCCUGAGAGGGUGAACGGCCACAUUGGGACUGAGAUACGGCCCAGAAGCCAACGGGAGGCAGCGGUGGGGAAUAUUGCAGAAUAGGGGGAAGUCUGAGGCAGCAACGCUGGGUGCGGGAUGACGGCCUUCGGGUUGUAAACCGAUGUGGCCUGUGACGAAGCGUGAGUGACGGUAAUGGGUAAAGAAGCACCGGCUAACUACGUG